CAAAAGCUUCAAAUUACGGGGGCAUUACCUUCUUUCCUGUGACAUAAAAUGCUCCAUCCUUGUGAGAAUACUACCUUAUCUUCCUCCUUUUGUUUUCUGCUCAUAGAAGAGAAAUGGAAAUGUAUGUGCAGGCCCAUGUAGAAGCAUUUGGAUUACAGCGACACAAUGCAGUCCCAGUACAACCAUAUAAAUUAGAUGCAACCAAGGCAUGAAAUGGGUGCUUCUUUGAGAACCAUAAUGUUCUCUUAACUCUCUUCAUGACAGUUGGCAUCCUCUCCUCCUACAACGCACUUGGACUCUUGUAUCCCAGCUACAGGUAU
rnacentral:lncRNA from 1 species